GACGGUACCUGCAGAAGAAGCUCCGGCUAACUACGUGCCAGCAGCCGCGGUAAUACGUAGGGGGCGAGCGUUAUCCGGAUUCAUUGGGCGUAAAGCGCGCGUAGGCGGCCGCCUAAGCGGGACCUCUAACCCCGGGGCUCAACCCCGGGCCGGGUCCCGGACUGGGCGGCUCGAGUGCGGUAGAGGAGAGCGGAAUUCCCGGUGUAGCGGUGGAAUGCGCAGAUAUCGGGAAGAACACCGAUGGCGAAGGCAGCUCUCUGGGCCGUCACUGACGCUGAGGCGCGAAAGCUGGGGGAGCGAACAGGAUUAGAUACCCUGGUAGUCCCAGCUGUAAACGAUGGGCGCUAGGUGUGGGGGGACGAUCCCUCCGUGCCGCAGCCAACGCAUUAAGCGCCCCGCCUGGGGAGUACGGCCGCAAGGCUAAAACUCAAAGGAAUUGACGGGGGCCCGCACAAGCAGCGGAGCAUGUGGCUUAAUUCGAAGCAACGCGAAGAACCUUACCAGGGCUUGACAUGCCGAUGAAGCCGGGGAGACCCGGUGGCCGAGAGGAGUCGGCGCAGGUGGUGCAUGGCUGUCGUCAGCUCGUGUCGUGAGAUGUUGGGUUAAGUCCCGCAACGAGCGCAACCCCCGCCCCGUGUUGCCAGCAUUCAGUUGGGGACUCGCGGGGGACUGCCGGCGUCAAGCCGGAGGAAGGUGGGGACGACGUCAAGUCAUCAUGCCCCUUAUGCCCUGGGCUGCACACGUGCUACAAUGGCCGGUACAGAGGGUUGCCACCCCGCGAGGGGGAGCGGAUCCCGGAAAGCCGGUCCCAGUUCGGAUCGCAGGCUGCAACCCGCCUGCGUGAAGCCGGAGUUGCUAGUAAUCGCGGAUCAGCACGCCGCGGUGAAUACGUUCCCGGGCCUUGUACACACCGCCCGUCACACCACCCGAGUCGUCUGCACCCGAAGCCGCCGGCCGAACCCCC
rnacentral:rRNA from 1 species